AUAUUCUGGUAAAUCAAUAAUAAUACGAGUAAUAAAAAGUCAUAAACCCUUGGAAAACCUCUGCAAAAAAUGUGCACAACAAUACUCCAAAGAAAGAUGUCCAAAAUCUUGUAUUGCCACAAUCGAUUUCAUUUUUCAAAAUCUCAAAUAAUAAAGAAUCCAGCAACAUCAAUAAUACCCAAUUGGAUCCGAUUAUUUUCCACCAUCCAAACACAAGAACAAAACCAAUCUUUACCAUUAAAUGCUGUUUCUGAUUUGUACCGACAGUUUUCUGACGAAUGGGUUCAUGCCACGGAACGAGCGAAAGAAGAUUUGGUUCAUAAAGUUAGCAUCUUUAGAGACCAAUUGAUGAAUGUUGUGAGAAAUGAUGACAAUGAUGUUUGUAUUGAUGAUUUGUUGGAAGUUGAAGGGUCGAAUUUGUUCAAGAUGUAUUCUAAUGGUGCUGCUAUGGUUGAGCUCCUUAACAUGUUGGAAUCAUCAUCAUCUUCUCAUCCUCAUUUGGCUCUUCAGGUUUUUAAUUGGAGAAGAAGGAAAGAAAAUAACUCGAGGCCUAUGUCAUCAGAAGAGUAUGCAAAAGGCAUUAAACUUGCUGGUAGAAUGAAGAAUGUAGAUCUAGCCUAUGAAAUUUUCAUGGAAGCUACAACUAAACGGAUCAAAAACACCUCAACUUACAACGCCCUCAUGGGUGCUUAUAUGUAUAAUGGCCUCAUUGAAAACUGUCAAUCGGUUUAUCGUGAUUUAAAGCGAGAUAUCAAUUGUUUCCCCACAUCAGCUACCUUUAACAUGCUCAUAUCAUGUUUCGGCCGUAGGGUUCUUGUAGAUAAAAUGGAAACAGCGUUCCAAGAAAUGAAAGAUUACAAUAUCACCCCUGAUUUGACCACAUACAAUAACUUGAUAGCUGGCUAUCUUACAGCAUGGAUGUGGGAUAGUAUGGAGAAUAUAUAUCAUACAAUGGAAACAGGACCUGUUCACCCUGAUCUUAAUACACGCUUGUUAAUGCUUCGUGGUUAUGCUCAUUCAGGUAAUUUAGAGAAGAUGGAAGAGAUAUAUAAUAUGGUGGGAUCCCACAUUCGUGAAAAAAAUACUGCUUUAAUUAGAGCUAUGAUAUGUGCAUAUUCUAAAAGUCCCUAUGCAAAUAGAGUUAAAAGAAUCAAGGAACUUAUGAGGCUAAUUCCCGAUAACGAAUACAGACCUUGGUUAAAUGUGAUACUUAUUAAGGUCUAUGCGGAUGAGGGUUUGGUUGAUCAAAUGGAGAGCUCAAUAGAAGAAGCAUUUGACCAUAACACACGUGUCAAUACUGUGCAAACCAUGCGUGCUAUUACUACGGCUUAUUUUCGGGAAAACGCUGUUGACCAGCUGGCAAAGUUUGUAACUCGUGCCGGGAAUUCGGGGUGGAAAGUCUGUCGUUCGCUGUACCAUGGGCUACUGAUGAUGCUGUCUUCACAAAAACGGUUUGAGGAAAUGGAACAAGUUCUUGAUGAGAUGAAGAGGUUUAAUUUUGGGUGCUCGAAAAGGACAUUUGUUAUACUGCAUAGGGCCUUUUUAGAAGAGCAGCAAGAAGGGCAUCGACAUAAACUUUUUAGGUUGUUAGCGUCAAUUUGCAAGCAUGGGUAUGGUGUUCCUUUAUCAUAAUGGACAAUUCAAUUCCAAUGUAGAAUAUGAAAAAGAAGCCAUGGAGCUAAUAUUUUUUCUGCUGGCGAUUUUAUUUGAUUCUGAGCCAGGUUCUGCGACUUGUGGUUUUGGUUUGAAGAUGGGAAUUGAUCAGGAUAUGCUGGAGCUCAAGGAGGAGAUUCAGCUUAGAAGAGAGAUGGGUCAAAGUCAUCUGGUAAAGCCAUUUUGGGCUUCUAUCCAACAACAAGUGACACAAGUAGGUGUUACACCAGCUGCUCCCACCACAACUCCACCAAAAACUGCCCCUGUUAUAUUGAAGGUCACUUGAAGCUUCAAGGGCUAGGAUGGAUCACAUUCAUGCUGAGAUCAUGGCGCUGUUGAGGAAUCGGUUUCAAUUCAAGGCACUUGGAGACAAAUCUGAUGGUACAGAUUUACAGCAGUCUGUGGUGGAAGAAAAGCAUGUUGAAGGCAAGUACAGCCUUGGACAGUCAGAACUUAGUGGCCAAGGGAUGAGGGCAUGCGAGAUGGAGGAUGAAACUGAGAAGGUGUUUGGUGUCGCCUCCAAACCAGAAGAUUGAAGCAGAAAGGUGUCUUAGAGAAAUUCCUGGUCAUCUUAAUUCACUACAAUCUGCUAAUAAAAUGUCACAAGACUGGUUGUGUGACACAAAAACAGAAAUCAAGGACUUGAAUCAGAAACAUGUUGUCAUGGAUAUUGCUUUUGAGAUUCAGAAACAUGCUGCCAUGAAUGUUGCUUUUCAGAAACAACAGUCAUCGGAGCAGAAAUUUGGUUGCCAAGGUACUUGAAGGGAAAGUUUAAAACUGGUGGUGGAGGGGGAUCUAAGAGAUAACAAGAGUAAUGACAGUCAUCUUGUGUCAUAUAAUUCACAUGGUGGCCAAAGGCUGAAGAUUGAAGAUGAUUACCCAUGGGAUCUCGGAAUUACUCAAGGCUAUUUUUCAAAGCAACACAGUUGAGGACAAGGUGUUUUUGGGGAUGGGAGUAAUGAUAUGGAUCAGGGGGGUUAACUGUCGUUUUUAAUAAUUAAUUACUUAAUUAUAGUAAUGUCUUGGUGGACAAGUUAGGUCUUUGUUUGGUGGUUCUUUAAAUAAGGCUCACAGCCAAUUGUUUAGGUCGUGAAGAAAAUAAUCGUCGUUCUUAGGAACUAAGGGCUGCUGGAGCAUUAUACCAGAUUAGCGGAGCAUUGUACUUGUUGGUAUUAUCGUGAAUUGUCUAGCUAUUUCUCUAUAUUCUGGUCUGGUACAUAUCAGUUACUUUCAAAAGUGAUGGAUCCCUCCAGGAAAACGGGCUUCCAGUAUCAGGAGCAGCUGUGAUAACUGACGGGUAACAAUCAGUCUAAGUUUUUUUUUUUUUAUAGGAGAUACUUCUGGAAAUUCAAUUGAGUGAUUGACAUGAAAACUAUUGAAAGGUUCAGAAAGGAAAUAGGACAGAUAAUAAUGGUUACUGUCAAGAAAGACCCUUUAAGGUCAAAGGCACCAAAGUCUAAUUUUUGUGUAUAGCAUUAGGAGGGUUUUGAGUUGAAACUAGUUUAUGUCUCAGAUAUUUAUGUAUAUAGCAUUUACUGGAUGCGAGCUAGAUUACUUUAA